AUUUGACCAUCUUGUGUGUUUACGGAGAAGACCAAAAGCUGCUAAGGCAGAUAUUUCCAGAGGUACAAACAGAGCGGAUGGUUGCAUGAUGGCCUCUUUCAGGUUUGUCAACUGAAUGUCUACUAGUGUGGCUCAGCAAGUUCCUGUCAUGAUCAGCCCUCUCCAAGAAAGACUAAAGAGAAGCGGGUCUGAGGCCAGAGAUGGAGGAGUCAAUGGUCACCAAAUGCAGCGCUGCAGCCUGAAACUGUGAACACUGAAUUCCCAAACAGCUGUGUGACUGCACAGAUGUUACGGCCAUAAAAGAAACUUCACAACUGAGAGCCCAUACCUCCAACAACCUUCAACAGGAAUCAAUGGACAUCUACGCAAGGUUUUUCUUUUGUUGAGGACCGUCAGAGACUCCAGCCACACGAGCCAUGGAUUGCUCUCAACAUCACCAUCAGACAGACAUUAUCACAGAACCAGCACCAGCAGACU